ACUCCUACGGGAGGCAGCAGUGAGGAAUAUUGGUCAAUGGAGGGAACUCUGAACCAGCCAUCCCGCGUGUAGGAAGACGGCCUUAUGGGUUGUAAACUACUUUUAUACAGGAAGAAACGUACCCUCGUGAGGGUGCCUGACGGUACUGUAGGAAUAAGCACCGGCUAACUCCGUGCCAGCAGCCGCGGUAAUACGGAGGGUGCGAGCGUUAUCCGGAUUUAUUGGGGUUUAAAGGGUCCGUAGGCGGAUUAAUAAGUCAGUGGUGAAAUCCCAUCGCUUAACGAUGGAACUGCCAUUGAUACUGUUAGUCUUGAAUGAGGGUGCAGUGGUUGGAAUGUGUAGUGUAGCGGUGAAAUGCAUAGAUAUUACACAGAACACCGAUUGCGAAGGCAGAUCACUAACCCUAAAUUGACGCUGAGGGACGAAAGCGUGGGGAGCGAACAGGAUUAGAUACCCUGGUAGCACAGAG
rnacentral:rRNA from 1 species